UACGAAGGGGGCUAGCGUUGCUCGGAAUCACUGGGCGUAAAGGGUGCGUAGGCGGGUUUCUAAGUCAGAGGUGAAAUCCUGGAGCUCAACUCCAGAACUGCCUUUGAUACUGGAAGUCUUGAGUAUGGGAGAGGUGAGUGGAACUGCGAGUGUAGAGGUGAAAUUCGUGGAUAUUCGCAAGAACACCAGUGGCGAAGGCGGCUCACUGGCCCAUUACUGACGCUGAGGCACGAAAGCGUGGGGAGCAAACAGG
rnacentral:rRNA from 1 species